UCCUUUUUAGCUUAGUGGUAGAGCGGAUGGCUGUUAACUAUCAGGUCACAGGUUCAAAUCCUGUAAAAGGAG
rnacentral:tRNA from 1 species